CACUCUUCUGGGAUUUAAUUUGAGAUAUUGGUACCUCUAAGAUGAUAUAUCAGUGGUUUAAAGUCGAAAAAACUACUGCAAGGUGUAUUUCGAUGUCCCCCCUUCUGCCUCUCUCUGGAGCUGCAGACAGAAGAGGCUGAUUUCGCCUGCCUCCGCCUGCCUCAUUAAUUAUUUAUGAGCCCCUCCUCUGAUUGGCUGACUGCACUUUGCAUCACACACAACCAGGCCUAUCACCUGAAGCUUGUUGGAGCAUAGGGUAGAACUUGCUGAUUGGCUGACUGCACUUUGAGGUGGGCCUCAACGGCCUAUCAACGGUCUCAUUCUGGAGCAUUGAAGAACUCUCCAGUAAACAAGAAUGGUGAUGACCACAGCUGAACGUCACGUUGUUAUGUUUAGAUACAGCUGUAGAAGACCAGCCACACAUUCACAGCUGGUUACAACAGGAUGUUUCAAACGCUGUGGUAAUGGUGCCAUGAUGACAACAGAGAAUGUGCUGCAGGGAGACACACAAGGUUCUUAGGAGAAUGAAGCAGCUUCAGUCCUCCACAAACUACAUGACAAAGCAUCCUGGCCUGGAAACUGUGUGCUGGACUGUCUACUCUCUGCAAAAGCUUUGCCAGGCGUACAGGAGCUUCGUCAGCUGCUGCUGGGGCCAUCUUGCGAGAAAGGUGAGGUUUGUAAUUCCCUCGUGUGAAGUCUUUCCCAUACGCAAGGAGUUCCCUGAUGAGGAUUCCCAGUUAAGUUGGCUUCAGACCGCCCCUUAACUGGCACAGCCAGCGAGGACCUCUUCUUUUGGUAGUCUCUCGUACUGAGUGGACAGCAGCUUGGGGACGUUGAUCUUCUGAAACUCAUUGACGUAUGGUGCAGGAUCUUUAAAGACUUGGUCAAACAGGACCUCCAUCAGUUCUUGGAUGUAACCUGGAAAACAUUUGUGCAGUGAUGUUUUUAUUUAUGUAAAUGUUAUUUACCUUGUAAUAAAAAUACACAUCUGUAAUCAAAACAUUUUGUGUAUCUUACCAUAUGUUGGACUGUUUUCACUGGCUUUGCUGUGCCCCUUCCUUUCUAGAUCGGCUUCUUUGAAGAGCUGGUUGCUUUUAGGGUGAUCAGCAUUUUCAUUGAAGUGUAUUGAAGACAGGUACAACCUGAAAAACAAAGAAAUCUGUGUAAAUUAUCGAACUGAGACUUUGCACACCAGUUCAACCAAACAU